rnacentral:rRNA from 1 species
UAGAGUUUGAUCCUGGCUCAGAAUGAACGCUGGCGGCGUGCUUAACACAUGCAAGUCGUACGAGAACUCUUUAGCUUGCUAAAGAUAGUAAAGUGGCGCACGGGUGAGUAACGCGUGGGUAAUCUACCCCUGAAUCCGGGAUAACAUUGCGAAAGCGAUGCUAAUACCGGAUAAUAUCUGAAUUAGUACUCUUUUUCAGAUCAAAGGUGGCCUCUAUAAAUAAGCUACUGUUUGGGGAUGAGCCCGCGUACCAUUAGCUAGUUGGUAGGGUAAUGGCCUACCAAGGCUACGAUGGUUAGCUGGUCUGAGAGGAUGAUCAGCCACACUGGAACUGACACACGGUCCAGACUCCUACGGGAGGCAGCAGUGAGGGAUUUUGCGCAAUGGGGGAAACCCUGACGCAGCAACGCCGCGUGAGUGAUGAAGGCUUUCGGGUCGUAAAGCUCUGUCGAGUGGGAAGAACAAAAAAGGUUGUAAUACGCCUUUUUCUGACGGUACCACUAAAGGAAGCACCGGCUAACUCCGUGCCAGCAGCCGCGGUAACACGGGGGGUGCAAGCGUUAUUCGGAAUUAUUGGGCGUAAAGGGCGUGCAGGCGGUUUCUUAAGUCAGAUGUGAAAGCCCGGGGCUUAACCCCGGAAGGGCAUUUGAAACUAAGAAACUUGAGUAUGGGAGAGGGAAGUGGAA